ACAGCAGCCGCCACGGUAAUACGAGGGGGGCAAGCGUUGUUCGGAAUUAUUGGGCGUAAAGGGCGCGUAGGCGGUUUGACAAGUUUCAUGUGAAAUCUAUGGGCUCAACCCAUAGUCUGCAUGGAAGACUGUCGGGCUUGAGUAUGGGAGAGGUGAGUGGAAUUUCCGGUGUAGCGGUGAAAUGCGUAGAUAUCGGAAGGAACACCUGAGGCGAAAGCGGCCCACUGGACAAUAACUGACGCUGAUGCACGAAAGCUAGGGGAGCAAACAGGAUUAGAUACCCGCGUAGUCCCUGUCUCUUAUAC
rnacentral:rRNA from 1 species